rnacentral:rRNA from 1 species
UACAGAGGAUGCAAGCGUUAUCCGGAAUGAUUGGGCGUAAAGCGUCUGUAGGUGGCUUUUUAAGUCCGCCGUCAAAUCCCAGGCGUCAACUCUGGACAGGCGGUGGAAACUACCAAGCUGGAGUACGGUAGGGGCAGAGGAAUUUCCGGUGGAGCGGUGAAAUGCGUAGAGAUCGGAAAGACACCAACGGCGAAAGCGGCUUCCUGGACCAGUACCGACGUUCAGGCAGAAAGCGUGGGGAGCAAACACGGAAUUAGACUUACCCGUAGGU